AAACGCGGCGCUGCAGUAUGGGCCCUUCAACACGGGCCAAUGGGGUCAACUGGAGAGCAAAAUCCGCGAUGAAUUCAGUGAAGCGACAAUAUUCACCGGCACUUCCAACUUAAUAUUCGAUGAGAAAGAGGUACUGGAAAUUGAGCAGGAAAUGGAAGAUUUAAAUUUGCCAAAAACAGAACCUACUGAAGAGAACAAGUGCAGACCGGAUGUCUUUUGGAAAAUCGUCAUUGGAACAGAUGCUAAGGACCAGAACCGCAAGGUCAAGGGCUACCUCUACUCCAACAAAAUCGAGCCAAGGAGCGACUUUUACUUGAAGAAGAGGUUUUGCUAUCGAUUUUUGUGCAGUUAUAAAGAGAGCGUCUCAGCGGGAUAUUGUUUUCACGGCGCUGAUGUUCAACAGAUUACCCAACUGUUGAAAGAAGCGGAUGUUAUUUGGGGACAUCCUGAUUUUACAGAUGCAAUGAAUGAAAUUUUGAAGGGUAUGCCGACAGGAUCAAGUCGUCAUCCUUCACAGGGAAUACUAUGGGAAGACCGAAGGAAUCAUUAAACGGUUUUAACUGGUUAAAAACAGAUUUUUCUGCUUGCAUGGAAUGGAAUAUCUGAAAUUUUGUGGUCCAAAAUUGAAUAAUCAAAUAACAAAUUAUUACAUAAUAAAUUUUUAUUUUAGUGGAAAAAUUUGUUCGAAAGCCGUGUUGCACCCUGAUAAUUAUUCCAUGUGUGCCAAAUAAAUGCUGUCCUCUUAGUUUGUGGGAACCAAAAUAAGCUUAUCACCAAUUUCGAAUGUUGUGUGUGUUUUUAUAAAAUAAGGCGUGUCGUUUGUUUAUUUCAAGUAUUGCAUUGUUUUGUUGAGUGUUUCACAUAAAUUUUUCUCCUUGA